rnacentral:rRNA from 1 species
CCCUUAGAUGUUCUGGGCCGCACGCGCGCUACAAUGAUGAAUUCAACGAGUUUAUAACCUUGGUUGAAAAGACUGGGUAAUCUUUUGAACUUUCGUCGUGAUGGGGCUAGACCCUUGCAAUUAUUGGUCUCCAACGAGGAAUUCCUAGUAAACGCAAGUCAUCAGCUUGCAUUGAUUACGUCCCUGCCCUUUGUACACACCGCCCGUCGCACCUACCGAUUGAAUGGUCCGGUGAAAUCUUCGGAUUGAGACUUUGAUUUCUUCACGGAAAACGCUGUUUUAAAAAGUUGAUUAAACCUUACCAUUUAGAGGAAGGUGAAGUCGUAACA